GACAGAGGGUGCAAACGUUGUUCGGAAUUACUGGGCGUAAAGCGUGUGUAGGCGGCUAAGUAAGUCGGAUGUGAAAGCCCCGGGCUCAACCCGGGAAGUGCACUCGAUACUGCUUAGCUUGAGUAUCGGAGAGGUUGGUGGAAUUCUCGGUGUAGAGGUGAAAUGCGCAGAUAUCAGGAAGAACACCCGUGGCGAAGGCGGCUCUCUGGAACGCAACUGACGCUGAGACGCGAAAGCGUGGGGAGCAAACAGG
rnacentral:rRNA from 1 species